rnacentral:lncRNA from 1 species
CCGCAAGCCGCCAUCCAUCCUGAGCCCUUGAUUUAAAAGGAAAAUUAAAGAAAGAAAAGCAGUUGCAGCUGCUAUCAGGUUGUUCACCUGCCUUUCCCUCACAGUUCCCACACCCCUGUGACCUCAGACACCCAGGUGCUCCCUGACUGUAAGCAUGACUCAUGCCCUCGUGGACAGUGCUCUGGAGGCCAUCGACCGUGGCUCUUCACCCCAAACCAAGGGGCCUUUGAUCAUCACAAACCUCUGUUUUCUGUAUUUCCACUGCCUCCCACAGUUAUUGUAAAGAUGGGCUUGAUAACAAAUGUAAGGUGCUUAUCAAAGUGCUCAAUACAGAACUAAAGAACCAAAUAAAGAACUAAACAGCCUCUCAUUCUGCUGGUUAUGGGCAUUCCAAGAUCCCUAGUGGACACCUGAAACCAGGC